CGCCUUUUAAGCGAUUGGUUCAGGGUUCGAGUCCCUGUGCCCCCA
rnacentral:tRNA from 1 species